rnacentral:rRNA from 1 species
GUGAGGAAUAUUGGACAAUGGUCGGAAGACUGAUCCAGCCAUGCCGCGUGCAGGAUGACGGCCCUAUGGGUUGUAAACUGCUUUUAUACGGGAAGAAACCCGCCUACGUGUAGGCGGCUGACUGUACCGUAAGAAUAAGGACCGGCUAACUCCGUGCCAGCAGCCGCGGUAAUACGGAGGGUCCGAGCGUUAUCCGGAAUCAUUGGGUUUAAAGGGUCCGUAGGCGGGCCUGUAAGUCAGGGGUGAAAGUUUGUGGCUCAACCAUAAAAUUGCCUUUGAUACUGCAGGUCUUGAGUCAUGGUGGGGUUGCCGGAACAUGUGGUGUAGCGGUGAAAUGCAUAGAUAUCACAUAGAACACCGAUCGCGAAGGCAGGUGACCAACCAUGUACUGACGCUGAUGGACGAAAGCGUGGGUAGCGAACGGGAUUAGAUACCCUAGUAGUCC